UUAUGUUAAGUUUUUAUUUUAUUUGUAUUUUCUUUUUUAUGUUACUUUUAUGUGAAUAUAUGGAAUAAAAAUGUUAUAAAAUAGAUAAUUUUAUUGAAAAAAAUAUAUAUUAUCACUAAAAAUGCAAUGAACUAAUUAUAUUGUGGGUUUACAACAGAUUAAACCACAAAAAUAAUUUUGGCCGCCCAGAUCGGUCAAAUACCCCACUGUGCGUCGGUAAUAAAAUGAUGGUCGGAGAAGGAAACAGUGACCGGGAAAAAGAGAAAAAAAAUUUUUUUGACAUCGCGCAUCUCCAAAAUAAAAGAGGAGAUCUAUCGUCCAUUGAGGAGAACCUCAUCAUUGUCUGCAGUGACACGACCAUCCUCUUUGUCUUCGCCAUUCUACCAUCUUUUGUCCAGACAAGUUACCGAAGUUUAUCCUUCCUCCAUCAUAUUUUCAUUGUGUGAACCAGAACUUUUAUUUGGA
rnacentral:lncRNA from 1 species